rnacentral:rRNA from 1 species
AAACCAACAGGGAUUACCUCAGUAACGGCGAGUGAAGCGGUAACAGCUCAAAUUUGAAAGCUGCCAACAGGCCGCGUUGUAAUUUGUAGAAGAUGCUUUGGGGGUUGGCCUAGUCUAAGUUCCUUGGAACAGGACGUCAUAGAGGGUGAGAAUCCCGUAUGUGAUUAGUGCCUUCUCCCGUGUAAAGCUCUUUCGACGAGUCGAGUUGUUUGGGAAUGCAGCUCAAAAUGGGUGGUAAAUUUCAUCUAAAGCUAAAUAUUGGCCAGAGACCGAUAGCGCACAAGUAGAGUGAUCGAAAGAUGAAAAGCACUUUGGAAAGAGAGUUAAACAGUACGUGAAAUUGUUGAAAGGGAAGCGCUUGCAACCAGACUUGCAGGCGGUCGAUCAUCCGAGGUUCUCCCCGGUGCACUCGAUCGUUUUCAGGCCAGCAUCGGUUUUGGUGGCGGGAUAAAGGCUCUAGGAAUGUGGCUCUUCGGAGUGUUAUAGCCUAGGGUGCAAUGCCGCCUACCGGGACCGAGGACCGCGCUUCGGCUAGGAUGCUGGCGUAAUGGUUGUAAGCGGC